AACUCAAACCUCCCUAAUGUUGUCAUGCUAACUCGCCAUCACGCCAUGCGGAUCACCCACAAUACCUUGCCAUGGACGACGAUGUCGUCGAUGCAACACGCAGACAACCAUCAAUGCCAUCUUGUCAAACAUUUUACUGAUGUCGCCGCUAGCCUUCAUGAGAUGGACACCUCCCAUUCCUUCACCUUCAUCACGAGCUUGCCGCCAUCGCACAUUCGUUGCCCCAUGUUUGUCACGAGUGCCUCAAUUCGUCGGUGACUCACCUUAUGUUCGCCACAGGCGCCGCAACUCGCCGGUUAUUCACCUCCAUGUUCUCGACGAUGACAGACCUUGUCGACGAAUCGCACAUGGAACUCCUCAUGGCAAUGGCCUCCGCUCCAUGGCCAUCACCUCCUUGUCGCCCGUGACACAACUUACCUGGCAACAUACCGUUCUCUAUCGCUCGUGACGAAGCUCGACGAUGAUCGAUGGAGACAUGCACCGGCCACUAGAAGCAUCGCACCUCCAUAGGCCGACACACGGCACGGAGCUUUGUGCGACCGCCGACAAAUGUCGCCAUCACUGGUGCGCCUCCGGCACAGCGAACCAUGCCCAAGACAACCAAGCUCUGAUAUCAAAUGUUGGCGUAGCCUUUCCCUCUCUCUCUCAUUGGACUCGAGGUAGAAGAAGUGAAGAUAAAACAUACUGGAUACACGUGUUUCCGGCGCUCCAACGCCAGCCGCAACGAACGGCUAAUCUUUCCUGCAGCUCGAACUGCUAGCCCCAUGUUACUACCAUCCAUGGCUAUGGGAUUUAUACCUAGCUGGAGCACAUACGACUCAGCCCACCCCGCCCCGCUGUGAUCUCACGAUCUGCAUGCCCGGUCGCUGCACGCUCCCACGACACGCACAUCGCGGCCGUUACAACAAACCACUGACCAAGCUAGCUAGCUAACCAAUACGGUUGCGCACCACGCCAAUCGUACAUGCACACACAUGCACGCCACGCUGCCAUGACCCAGCCCGCGGAUCCGACCUAACACACUGACGUUGGUCGCACCUGUCACGGAACCGACCCGACACACUCACGCCGGUCGCACCGGGCUCCGUCAUGGCUUAUUCCCAACAAUCACCCCCUAAUCGGUGACCUAGAGGAGUAACGGCCCGACGUCGUCGUCGAUGUCGCUUUGAACGCCCCCGCCCGAUGAUGUGACGUGCCGCCUGCUUGCCGUUGUCGGAGUUGAUGUUGCUACUCCCAUCUUCAUCGUCGCCACGACUGUGGACUCGACAUGGCGCGCUAACGCCGGUCGCCACCACCACUAACACGACCUGGCGUGCUGACGCCGGUCACCACCGCCGCAGACACGACAUAGCACGCCGACACCGGUCACCACCGCUGCGAACUCGCCGCCGAUCGUGGUCGUCGUGUGCUCGUCCCACACGUCCACCUCCGUCGCGCUCGUCAUCGACUCACCGCGUGUCGCCUCCGCAUCCACCAUGACAGUCGUCGUGUCGCACACCUCCACAUGCCGACACACGGCCUGGAGCUCCAUCGUGCAGCCGUCGAUGAACGCUGCCAUCGCCGGCACGCCUUCGGCAAGUCGAACGACGUCCAAGACCACCAAGCUCAUGAUACCAAAUGUUGGCGCUGCAAGGAGGCAGCGCCGCUGCUUCUUCUACCUCCCGUUGUCUCUCAUGACUCUCUCUUCUCUCAAGAGCACAAGAACACACACACGCACGCACACAACCAAAGCAGAUGACCAAGGGCUUUGCCCAGACCACUUCCUCGGUGAACAGAAAGACUACUCCGGCCAAGCUAACAAGUCAUGCAUGUACUAGCAAACUCAUUAACUAACUUGCCGAUUAUCCUCUAGCUAAUUUGCCUGAGCCACUCCAGCCAUCCAGCGCCUUGCCGAGUCGCACGACAAGCUGGAGAUUCACACGGCAGGCUGGAUCUCACAACUCCACGCCAUCAUGCCUCACCUGCAACACACAGUUGGUGGUAUCUCGUCUCCGUUGCGCGCUUAGCUGAGACCUCGCCGGACAAUUCGCUAAACUACAUCAACAGAAUGAAUACAAACAUGCAUAUACAUCAUGACAAAAUCAGUUAGCAUGACAACUCAUGCUAACUCGCCAAUACGUCAUGUGGAUCACCCGCAAUACCUUGCCGUGGACGACGAUGUUUUAGCAGCAUAUUUUCUCCCUAUUUUUUCACAGGGUUUGAAAGAGUUUUAGCAGCAUAUACUAUACUACUCCUCAUGUAUUUUUUCCACAGGGUUUUUGAAGGAGACUAUUUCAAGAUGAUGAAGAUGCUCAAGGACAAGUGUAGAUUAGGGGAAGUGUUAGAAUUUAAUUAAUUAAUGUAAUUAGUUAAAGUUAAUCUCUACUCGUAAACCGCACGUGGAUGUUCCCACGAUGUGGAACCAACGUAUUGUUCCUGGAGCGUCGCCUCCUUUCGAACCGUCUCAUCCUUUAGAUGCAUUCAUUCCCCUGUAUAUAAAUGUUCAAUCAUCAAUGGAAAAGGAUAGUUGAUUCAUUCACUUUCAAUACGUUAUCAGCACGCAUCCUACCAACAGAGCAUCGAGAUGGAGAGAAGGUAAGAUGGCAGGGAUGAACCUGCACAGAAUCGCCUCUGCUCUUGUUCGCUUCAUUGGAAAGGAAAUCCGUUGAUCUGCAAGAAGCCAUGGUAUUGGAGUUCGUCACCAUUGGGGAUCUGGCAACGGCCGCCGUGGUCGCCGUGGCCGCCGCAGUCGUUGUGGUCAUCACAACCACCCUGGCUCUGGCGCGGCAGACCAUGCAGGACCAAGCAACCCACCAUCGGCCGUCCACCAUGCCUAUGAGGCACCUCCGAUGCCAGCCUUCGUUUCCCCGCCGGCCUUUGUCGCUCCACAAAUGACUGGCUACUAGAGGACAUAGGAGGGGUCUUCUGUCCGGUGCACGGAUAUGGGCCGUGCCCUCCACCCCGGGCCACUCCACCACCGGAACCGGAGAUCGUUGAAGGGCCUACUUACCCGGAUCUCCCAACACUGACGCCUGCCGACGAAGAGCUCCUUGUGCCUCCAUGCUAUGACCCUAUGCCCGCCAUGGCAGUGUGGGAGGUAACACCGACGGAGGCGGACGAAGCCGGCGCCACCAUCCCCGACCUCAACACAGCCACCGGCAUGAAGAUCGAGGAUGGGGCGUCGUCACACAUAGUUGUUGCAUCUCUACCGCCUCAGCCCCCGGCAAGCCCACAAAAGCCACCACCGGCGGCUCGCCAGAUCCUUCGACGUUUCACGGCGGCGUUGGAGCGGCACUGCCCCGGCCUCCGCUCCGGAUCUUGAGCCCAUGCUGGCCUCCACCUUCCCGGCUGCACCGCGGGGGGACCGUCCUCCUCCUGAAGCUCGCCGGCGCGAGGCGCCAUCGGCGGUGGUGGAUACGGGAUUCGUGGGGGUGGCUAUGGAACGGGGGGGAAUUGACCCCAACAGCACCACCUCCCGUCCCUCUUAUCCGCUCAGCCAGCGGCGCCC
rnacentral:lncRNA from 1 species